rnacentral:lncRNA from 1 species
UCUCGUGUUAGUUCCGGAACACAAUGUAACCUUAAACAUAAGUACAUGUAUAGUUCAACAUUGAUAGUUGAAGCAAGUCCAUAAACUUUGAGCCACAAAUAGUGUCCAAUAUUAAGAUUUUUUUACUGACUUACAAUAAAAGUCCAUGACAAGGAGGAUCUUCAGCAACACUCUUCAAUUCAUAUACUCUAAGAAUAAAGAACCAUCCUCUCCAUGGAAUCUAUCAAUUAAUCUACAUAUGGAUAUUUUCUCAAUCACCUAGCCAGUACAGAACAAAAAAAUAAAAACGUAGAUAAGAUCAGUACAAUUCCCCUCUUUGAUUUGGUGCCCUAGGACAAAAACCACCGUUUCCCAGACUGAUCUGAUGCGUCCUCCUACACGUACAUGAGUUGCUGGUCAACCUCCGCCUCUGGCUCAGUGUACUCACACAGGGGACAGGAGCCCGAGAAAGUCUGGCACGCCACUGUGAAUUGAGAUCGAAGGAGAAGAGGCCGUCCAUGAGGCUAACCAGAGAAUACCAUGGCGAGGUGAAUCGUGGGAGACGGGGGACAGGGGCGGGCCAAGAAGGAAGGAGGGACGAACCUGGGGCCGCCGGAGACGCGCCGGCGAAGCCCUGCCCGAAACCCUAGCCAUGGGGGGUCGGUCGCGAGCUGGCGGUAGAGGCCAGGAGAGGAGAAUCUGGAAGGAGGGGAGGGAGGAGCGGGCCGUGGGGAGCUAGUAGGCGUGCUGCGCGGCGCCAGAGCUCGCCGGAGAAGCAGGCGGCGGCGGCUUCGUGGGCGAGAGGGAGAGGAGGCGAGAGCCCGUGCUCCGUGUGUGGCCGCGGUGUGUAUUUUUUUCUUUACAUGCUCG